UUUGCAGUUAUAUUCAUUAUAACGACAGGUGGUGUAGCUGUAGCUUUAAAAAGAUCUUGGCUUAUAUUAUUUAAUGUGUGUUUUUAUUAAAGAUUUUCGUUUAAACAGUUUAAAUGUUCAACAAAGCAUAUACAGAAAAACAGAAUAUAGCUGAAGUAGGUCAAAGCUGCAGCGGACGGCGUGUAGUUGUCAUCUAUAUAGUCAUAGUCGAUUAUCACGAUUUUUAAAUAGAAAAUAUCGUGCUAAUAAUUUGUAGAUGUCGCCCAGGCCUGCUUGGAAGUGGGACGUCGGACCUCGGAACUGUGUCAUUCCCAACCUCCACGCGUUUAAGCUACGAAGUGGGAAAACAGGGACACCUCCAUCAAAACGAGAGUUGUUAUCAACACGCCAGCCAGUUACACUAUAUGCGGUGGUGAAUAAGGGCCUGACAGUGGUGGCCCUGAGACUACAGGGAGGAAGAGAUACUGACUGCAGACCUUUCCACGCGGCUGGGGUCACAGGAAAGAGGCAUACUGUAGCCACGUGGAGCCUCAAACACACACGGCGGAAUCUCGCCUCCACGACACGAGUCUGAGUUUGAGUGACAGACUGGUGCUCACUGGUGGAGCUGGAGCUAGACACACUGGAGGAAUCGCUGCCUGGAGACGGUGUCUCUGUUCUGGGGCUGUCCUUCUGUCCAUCUUCUCCCUCCAUCCUGCCCACUACCCCCUCCUCACCGCCGUUCAGGUUCUCAAAGGUGAUGCGGGCAUUGAGAAUGUGGUAGAUGGGGAUCUCUGAGGAGAAAAAGAGGGAAGCCAGGGGGCAGACGCAGUGUGAUGAAAUCUCUGAGCUUGGCAAACAGAGCGUUGGAGAUGGCCAUGAGGUCUAUGAUGGGAGCCACCUGCUCGGCCAGCGACAGAGGAUGAGACUCGCAUAGCCACAGCUUGGCCUUGAACCUGAGAAUGCAAGAGAAAGGCAGAUGCAUUAACACAGGGCUGAGGACGUGCAGACAGAGCUGUGUGGUGACCACCGGAGCAGAGAGGCGGGCAGCAACCUGCUCAUCACUGGGCUGCAGCGCCCCCAACAGGCUGAGAGCGGAGGGGUGUGGCCGGG